UUCACAUCUUACCCAACCCCAGCAAGCCAUAAGAACAGGAGAACUAAGCUGACCAGGACUGCAAAGAGUGCAAAAACAAGCAAGAUGUCAAAGGCCAAUGGGGGAGUGGGGAAUAAGGUUUCGCAUCCCUGCAGCUGGUGUGUUUUGGGAAACCUAAGAAGGCCACAGAAAGCUGGUUUGUCAUGGUACAAAGAGCACCAGGAGCAAAGGUCCCUGAACAAAAUACUCCCAAAAGAACCUAGGACUUAAAAACCCUCCCAAGAGCCAAAGCAAGUCGGAGAUCAAUAGCGGACCCUGGACAACCCGUGCAUGGAACAAAAACUCCCCCUCCGCCCUCUUCUUCUUAAGUUACACCCAGGCUUGGCCAGCCUCGGGUAGUGCGAGUGAGACGCCCUGUAAUACAGUGAGGAAUGUCCAGCACUGGGACUAAGGAGAACUGGGUUCAGUCACUUCACCCUCUCUCUGCCUCUAUCAAGCCGGUGGGGCUCUUCAGCUGUGGCAGGAAGUCAACCUAGCAGAAGGAAAACUCUGAUUUCAGACUGAGAAUGUUAAGUGUGGCCAGCUGGUUUGUAAAAGUAGUGCCGAGAAUUUAUAAGCUGUUCCCCUUUAAAUGGUUCCAGUAACUGGAGUGUGUGUACUGUUGCACACAUCAAAAAAAGCUCCGAGAAAUUUAUUUUCUUUUCCUCAAGACACCUGACCACCUCAUUUAUAGCUCUGGUGUUAGAAAAAAAUAUCCUGAUACAUUGAAAUUAAAUCAAGACAAUGAGCGAGACACCAUGCACAGAGGGCACUCCACAGCUGACAAGAGCUAAUUCCAAGAGCAACCAGCAGGAGGUGCUAAUGGUGGUGUGUCGAGACCCAGUUAUAGUCUCUGUGUGUAUAUUUGUUAUUGUGUAUAAAAUUUAAAGUAUAUUAAGAUUCCUGUGAGCAUCCUGCAUAUGAUUGAUCAUGUGCAGAACAUAAUCACUUAAGGCAUUCCAACUGUAUCACAUUACAGCCUUGAGAACUUUAGCUUGUAUA